rnacentral:sRNA from 1 species
GCAAGCAACUGGUUGAGCGUUCGGGCGACUUGCUCGACAACAGAAUGAGUCUGCGAACGCGGAUUUCCAUGCGUACGCAUUUGCUCAUGUGCAUCAACUGUCGCCGCUUCAUCAAACACAUGCGCCUUUCUCAGGCUGUCGUGCGCAGGCUCCCUGUUGAGGAAUCUGCCGCGCUUGAUUCACUGGCUGCGCGCUUGUCUGAAAUCCGACAAGGGAAGCAGCGCGGUAAUCAU